rnacentral:rRNA from 1 species
GACGAACGCUGGCGGCGUGCUUAACACAUGCAAGUCGAACGGACAGGCCCUGAUUGCGGUGUCCUCGCGUGGCGGACGGGCGGGUAAGACGCGGGUGGUCUGCCCUGCUCUUAGAGUUAGGCCUGGUCGACUGGGUCUAGUACCGAAUAGGAGAUAUUUUUAGUGUGAUGGUUGGAUAGUUUUUUCGGUCUUGGAUGAGAUCGCGACCUAUCUGCUCGCUGGGGGGGUUAUGUCCUACCGACGCGGCGUGGGGUGGCCGGCCUGAGUGGGUGGACGGCCACAUUGGGACUGAGAGACGGCCCAGACACCGACUGGAGGCAGCAGGGGGGAAGAUUGCACAAGGGGCGCAAGGCGGAUGCAGCGACGCCGCGUGUGGGAUGACUGCCUUCGUGGUGUAAACCAAUUUCGCUAGGGACGAAGCACUUUUUGACGGUACCUAGUUAAGAAGCCCCGGCUAACUACGUG